rnacentral:rRNA from 1 species
GGAGGGUGCGAGCGUUGUUCGGAAUUACUGGGCGUAAAGCGCGUGUAGGCGGCCUUGCAAGUCAGGCGUGAAAGCCCUCGGCUUAACCGGGGAAGUGCGUCUGAAACUGCUUGGCUUGAGUACGGGAGAGGGAGGCGGAAUUCCCAGCGUAGAGGUGAAGUUCGUAGAUAUUGGGAGGAACACCGGUGGCGAAAGCGGCCUCCUGGACCGAUACUGACGCUGAGACGCGAAAGCGUGGGGAGCAAACAGGAUUAGAUACCCUGGUAGUCCACGCGGUAAACGAUGGGCACUAGGUGUGGGGGGUAUCCACUCCUCCCGUGCCGAAGCUAACGCAUUAAGUGCCCCGCCUGGGGAGUACGGCCGCAAGGUUA